rnacentral:lncRNA from 1 species
GUGGAGACAAUAGCUCCCGUGAACACAAGCAGACAAGGCUCAAUGCAGCUUUCUUCCCCUCCUCAAUGCAGCUUUGAUCCAGCCAGGGCUACCGGGAGGAAUUUCAGUCUAACUGGGGCAGCCCUACCUGGGAACCAUGCCUCACUCUGUGGGGGUGGCUCCUCCCAUUAUUGGGGAGGUUAUCGGGAGCCGGCAUGGAAAGUUCCAUAAACAUGGAGCACCAGCACCCCACCAGCGCCUCCACACACCAGCCUGAUUGAAUUUAGCACAUGUCUUUGCUAUAGGUACGAUUGGCGAUGACAGUUGUCAAGCUGUUGUGGCUCAGUCUCAAAGUCACUACCGUUUUGUGACGCAGGGGCUGGAACUGCCACUUCUCCCAGCUAACUGGCGCCAUGUCAGGUUCUGCCACUAGGAGGCGCCAGAGGGAGAUCGCAAAGCUGGAGGACCGAAAAGGGACUUUUAUCUUUCAGUGCCCACCAGUUUCAUCCUGGCAUCGAAGUUUGUUUCAGUCUCUAGGUUUUUUCAACACCCCUAGUACCAGCCUCUUAGUCAUUUCUCUGCCCCAUGAUUUACAAAACUCUCCUACUUUAAAAACAACCACCUCUGGGUUUUAAAAACAAUCCCAGCGCCCUGUGUACAAUUUCACAACAAAGGAGAGAAGCGUCAAGGGCUGGGACGAUAGCAGAGGGGUCUGCGCCUGCAUGAAGACCCAAUUUCUUCCCGGGUGGUGGAUAAAGCUAAGGAGAUAAAAAAUGACCUUUCACCUUCGGGAACAGUAAUCGCCACCUCUCUGGAGCCUGUGCGGAGGAUGAAUUAGGAAGAAACAAGGCCAGACCACCAGUUGGCAGACUGCUGAAGUCAAGAAGUCCUCUAAGCCAGAAGUGAUGAUGCCAUGAACCAGGCUUCUUACAGAGUUGUGGGCCUGGCAGGUGACACAGAGGAGUUCUGUGCCCAGGGAGCAUGGUGAGCCAGACAACUGGGCAGCUGCUAGGUGGCUCCAGCUGAAUACGGCCAUAGAAGAAUGGGGCCCAGAGCUGCCAGAUCUUUUGAUUCUUCAAAAAGCAGAAAUCCGGAAUUCAUGUAGAAUCUCCUAUUUAAAAAAUAUUGACAACUAAUUUGGAGUUGUAAAAAAAACAUUGAGUGAAUUAAACAAUGUGAGUCUGCCUUAAAGCAAAACUUCUGAACAUGAGGUUCUCUUUUUAGAAAUUACAUGGUUGCUCACAACUCACUUUGUCUGAUGGGAUGGAGACGAGCUUGUAUAGGCCACCGGCUAACAGGGUUCAUCCAGUGCCCCCUACAUACUGUGCUGGGUGCCUUUCACAUCUGC